rnacentral:rRNA from 1 species
UACGUAGGUGGCAAGCGUUGUCCGGAUUUAUUGGGCGUAAAGGGCGCGUAGGCGGCUAGAUGUGUCAAAGGUGAAAUCCCUCGGCUCAACUGAGGAACUGCCUUUGAAACUGUCUGGCUUGAGGCCGGGAGAGGGUAGCGGAAUUCCCAGUGUAGCGGUGAAAUGCGUAGAUAUUGGGAGGAACACCAGUGGCGAAGGCGGCUACCUGGACCGGUUCUGACGCUGAGGCGCGAAAGCGUGGGUAGCAAACAGG